AACCACUUAGUGUUCGGGCCAUUUUUGGCCAUUUUUUUGUUUUUGCACUGCGCCUACUCUAGAGAGCACUGCUCCUUCAUAGUAUGACCUCUAAUCACAUGCUUGGUCUCUUUGGAAAGCUGAGAACCUGUAGCAUUUUAUGACAUUAUCAGAAUAACUGUAUCAUGUACUCUCACAGUGCUGGGAAGACUAUAAUAUUUAUUUGUGUUAAAACUAUUUUUCGAAUGCUUUGUAUAAGAUGGCUUGUGCAUAUACACAAUAUAAUUACACUAAAAUAAUAUUGAUAUUCGAUUUCUGCGGACUCUUAUGAACAUUUCAAGACCCAACAUGAAGUAUCAACUCAUUGCUAAGGAUAUCCACAACGACGAUGAAGUUAGAAUGCACCAAGGGAGGAGGAGGGUGAGGGGGGCUAUUUUGACCUAAGACACUAGGAUAUUUUUGAUCUAUAUUCGCCAAAAAUAUCUAUUCCACCAUAUGGUUGACAUUGGAUGACAUUCCUGAGAUUCUAAGCUUUCAAACGGUGUAUGACCUGACUAUAACACUCAACUGUAUGAUGCCGAAAAUUGACCAAG